GACGAACGCUGGCGGCGUGCUUAACACAUGCAAGUCGAGCGGAGCGGCGAACGGGUGAGUAACGCGUGAGUAAUUGCCCCCCUCUCUGGGAAAACAGUUGGAAACUGCUGCUAAUACCGGAUAGUGGGGGAUGACUCGGGUCCAAUCAGCUUGUUAGUGGGGUAGUGGCCUAUCAAGGCGACGCCGGGUAGCCGGCCUGGGAGGUCGACCGGCCACAUUGGGCUAAGAUACGGCCCAAACUCCAACAGGAGACAGCAGUGGGGAGUAUUGCGCAAUGGGGGAAACCCUAAUGAAGCAACGCCGGGGGCGGGAUGACGGCCUUCGGGUUGUAAACCGCUUUCAGCCAUGACGCGGUACUGGCAGAAGAAGCACCGGCUAACUACGUGCCAGCAGCCGCGGUAAUAC
rnacentral:rRNA from 1 species